GACUGAGGUCCCAAGCGUUAGGCGGAAUCACUGGGCUUAAAGCGUGUGUAGGCGGAGUGCUAAGUACCUUGUGAAAUCCCACGGCUCACCCGUGGAACUGCUUGGUAUACUGGUUCUCUUGAGCCACCUAGGGGCGAGCGGAACAAGUGGUGGAGCGGUGAAAUGCGCAGAUAUCAGGAGGAACACCAAUGGCGAAGGCAGCUCGCUGGGACGGUACUGACGCUGAGACGCGAAAGCGUGGGGAGCAAACAGG
rnacentral:rRNA from 1 species